CCCAACUAUCCCUAUUAAUCAUUACAGUGAUUCAAAAACCAACAAAACAGGACCACCGUUCUAUUUUAUUAUUCUAUGCUAAUGUAUUCAGACGUAAGCCUGCUUUGAACACUCUAAUUUUUUCAAGGUAAAGGUCCUGGUUUCCCACCACGCUAAAUAAAUAACAUGAUGGUUCUCCAGAAGGUAGAAAUUCCACACGCCAGUACAGACUAUUGCCCAACCAAUGGUAGAACUCCGAAAUUCAACUACGAGCUUUUUAACUGCAACAACUUUAAUAUAUACUAUUGGAGCUGGAAUUACCGUGGCUGCUGGCACCAGACUUGCCCUCCAA
rnacentral:misc_RNA from 2 species